GGUUUUGUACGGCAAGAGAAACUCAGCAUAAAAUUAAAAGACACCUUACUAAUCACAGCCAGUUACAGAUUUCUUUGUUCCUUCUCCACUCCCACUGCUUCACUUGACCGGCCUAAA
rnacentral:Y_RNA from 1 species